rnacentral:rRNA from 1 species
AGGAUUAACGCUGGCGGCGUGCCUAACACAUGCAAGUCGAACGAGGUAGCAAUACCUAGUGGCAGACGGGUGAGUAACGCGUGGUCAACCUACCGUUGAGUGGGGGAUAACUAGCCGAAAGGUUAGCUAAUACCGCAUACGAGUCUCGGGGGCAUCCCUGGGCCUUAAAAGGAGCAAUCCGCUCGAUGACGGGACCGCGUCCCAUUAGCUAGAUGGUGGGGUAAUGGCCUACCAUGGCUCCGAUGGGUAGCUGGUUUGAGAGAGCGACCAGCCACACUGGGACUGAGAAACGGCCCAGACUCCUACGGGAGGCAGCAGUGAGGAAUUUUCCGCAAUGGGCGAAAGCCUGACGGAGCGACGCCGCGUGUGGGAAGAAGGCCUUCGGGUCGUAAACCCUUUCAGUUGGGACGAAGCUUCGUCGGUGAAUAGCCGACUGGAGUGACGGUACCUUCAGAAGAAGCCCGGCUAACUACGCGCCAGCAGCCGCGGUAA